GGGGACACAGCGCUGGGCCGUCGGCAGGAGCUGGGAGCAGGGCGCCCGGUGGGAGCGGCCCCUCAGCCCCGUGAGCUGACAGGCUGACAGCACGGCGGACACCGCUGAGCAGGGAGCCCCUGGCCACACACAGCCAGCUUCGCAGGCCCCAGGACGGCCCGUCAGACCAGAGGUCGGGGUCGAGGGCUGCUCCCCGUGCCAACCGCACGCAGCCCCGGCUCCCGUGAGUGACGCCUGGGAGCAAGCGUGUUUUCUACGGAAGGCUGGUCUGCUGAGCCAGGCCGGUGGCCGCAUGCACUGUCCCUCAGCACCCAGUCAGCCCGGGACCCCCUCUUCAGCUCCUAAAUGGAGAAACCGAGGCAGAUCUGAAGAAGUGCCGGAAGAACGGGAAAUCCAAGUUCUGAGUCUCCCUGCCAGUGACCUAGAAUGCAGUCACCUGACACGUGAUGACAAAUGCCCUGGAAACCACACAAGGCUCCCUUUAUGGCUGACACACAGGCACAGACAGAAGGGAACGUGUCAGACGGGACCUGAUACUCGGGGCGUGACACCCCCCGAUCCCAAGGACCUGCUGAGUGUGCACAGCGUGUGGGAGGCCGGCCCUGGCCAGGAGCAGCUGCAGCAGGGACUGUCUGGCAGUCCUUGGCCCCGCCCCCACCCCCGGGGCCACACCCAGGCGAGAGAGGGCAGCGGCACCAGGCACACCCAGGGCCCAGACAGAGCGCGGGGCGCGGGCCCACUCCCUUGCUCCGGGCACCCGGCCGAGGAGCUGCGAGGAGGCCCCG